rnacentral:Y_RNA from 1 species
GGCUUAUGGCAAUGGUAUUUACAACCAAUUGAUCACAACCAGUUACAGAUUCCUUUAUUCCUUCUCUACUCCCACUGCUUCACUUGACCAGCCUUUA